rnacentral:ncRNA from 1 species
AUAAUUUGGUUCUGGUUAUUUUUUAAUUUUAGGAUAAAUAUAUUUGCAUGUUAAUUUUUGUGGGUAAUUAGUUAAAUUUUUCUAAAUGAUUAAAUUAUGUUUAACGUUAAAAAUUAUAUUUAUGUUCGCAGUUUCUAAUUUUGGUUGUUUUAAUGAAGUAAUCUUUGAUUCAUUUAAUUCUAUUUUAAUAACUAGUUAAAAUUGUGCCAGCAACUGCGGUUAUACAAUUAGUUAAAGUUAAUUUUUUUGAGUAAUAAGGUAUUAAGAAUUAUUUUGAUUUUAUUAUAAUAUUUGUUGAUAAUUAAGGUGAAAUUUUUAUUAACUUUUAUAUAUUAGGUGGAUUUUUAUUAUAUGAAAUUCUUGUAAAAGACUAGGAUUAGAUACCCUAUUAUUGAGAAUGUAAAUUUUAUUGCUUAUAUUAUUAAUAGUUUUGAUCUUUAAAAUAAAAGAACUUGACGGUAAUUAUAUCUUUUCAGAGGAACCUGUCCUGUAAUUGAUAAUCCACGUUAAAUUUUACCUUAAUUUUUAGUUUGUAUAUCUCUGUUAUUAGAAUGUUUUAUUAGAAUUGUUUAAUUUUCUUUAAUUUUUUAUUAAGAUUAAAUCAGGUCAAGGUGCAGCUAUAUUAAGGGUAGAGAUGGGUUACAUUGAUUUAUAUAAUUUUGGAUUUAUAUAUUGUAUUAUAUUUUAAUGAAAUAGGAUUUGAUUGUAAUGUUUAUUAUAUUUUAAUUGUGAUAUUAGCUCUUUAUUAAGUACACAUCGCCCGUCGCUCUCGUUAUUAAGAUGAGAUAAGUCGUAACAAAGUAGGCCUAUCGGAAGGUGGGCCUGGAAUUAAU